rnacentral:rRNA from 1 species
UACAGAGGGGGCAAGCGUUGUUCGGAAUUACUGGGCGUAAAGGGCGCGUAGGCGGCCUGCUAAGUCGAACGUGAAAUCCCUGGGCUCAACCCAGGAACUGCGUCCGAUACUGGUUGGCUUGAAUCCGGGAGAGGGACGUGGAAUUCCUGGUGUAGCGGUGAAAUGCGCAGAUAUCAGGAGGAACACCGAUUGCGAAGGCAGCUCGCUGGAACGUUACUGACGCUGAGACGCGAAAGCGUGGGGAGCAAACAGG